rnacentral:tRNA from 1 species
UGACGCGUAGCACAAUGGCAGUGCAGCGGGUUGUUACCCCGCAGGUUGCUGGUUCGAAUCCAGCCGUGUCAG